GACAGAAUGUUAACACAUGCAAGUCUACUUGAACUUCGGUUUGGGUGGCGGACGGGUGAGUAACGCGUAAAGAACUUGCCUCACAGUUAGGGACAACAUUUGGAAACGAAUGCUAAUACCUGAUAUUAUGAUUUUAGGGCAUCCUAAGAUUAUGAAAGCUAUAUGCGCUGUGAGAGAGCUUGCGUCCCAUUAGCUAGUUGGAGAGGUAACGGCUCACCAAGGCGAUGAUGGGUAGCCGGCCUGAGAGGGUGAACGGCCACAAGGGGACUGAGACACGGCCCUUACUCCUACGGGAGGCAGCAGUGGGGAAUAUUGGACAAUGGACCAAAAGUCUGAUCCAGCAAUUCUGUGUGCACGAUGACGUUUUUCGGAAUGUAAAGUGCUUUCAGUUGGGAAGAAAAAAAUGACGGUACCAACAGAAGAAGUGACGGCUAAAUACGUGCCAGCAGCCGCGGUAAUACGUAUGUCACAAGCGUUAUCCGGAUUUAUUGGGCGUAAAGCGCGUCUAGGUGGUUAUGUAAGUCUGAUGUGAAAAUGCAGGGCUCAACUCUGUAUUGCGUUGGAAACUGCAUGACUAGAGUACUGGAGAGGUAAGCGGAACUACAAGUGUAGAGGUGAAAUUCGUAGAUAUUUGUAGGAAUGCCGAUGGGGAAGCCAGCUUACUGGACAGAUACUGACGCUAAAGCGCGAAAGCGUGGGUAGCAAACAGGAUUAGAUACCCUGGUAGUCCACGCCGUAAACGAUGAUUACUAGGUGUUGGGGGUCGAACCUCAGCGCCCAAGCUAACGCGAUA
rnacentral:rRNA from 1 species